rnacentral:rRNA from 1 species
GGAGGGAGCAAGCGUUGUUCGGAUUUACUGGGCGUAAAGGGCGUGUAGGCGGCCUUGCAAGUCGGGCGUGAAAUCCUCUGGCUCAACCAGAGAACUGCACCCGAAACUGCUAGGCUUGAGUAUAGGAGAGGAAAGCGGAAUUCCUGGUGUAGCGGUGAAAUGCGUAGAUAUCAGGAAGAACACCAGUGGCGAAGGCGGCUUUCUGGCCUACUACUGACGCUGAGGCGCGAAAGCCGGGGGAGCGAACAGGAUUAGAUACCCUGGUAGUCCCGGCGUAAACGUUGGGCACUAGGUGUAGGGGGUAUCGACCCCCCGUCUGUGCCCGAAGCUAACGCAUUAAGUGCCCCGCCUGGGGGAGUACGACCGCAAGGUUG